rnacentral:rRNA from 1 species
GACGAACGCUGGCGGCGUGCUUAACACAUGCAAGUCGAACGGUGAAAGCGGAGCUUGCUCCGCUGGAUCAGUGGCGAACGGGUGAGUAACACGUGGGCAACCUGCCCCUCACUUCGGGAUAACUCCGGGAAACCGGGGCUAAUACCGGAUAUGACCUCCUUGGGCAUCCUUGGACGUGGAAAGUUUUUCGGUGAGGGAUGGGCCCGCGGCCUAUCCGCUUGUUGGUGGGGUAGUGGCUCACCAAGGCGACGACGGGUAGCCGGCCUGAGAGGGCGACCGGCAACACUGGGACUGAGACACGGCCCAGACUCCUACGGGAGGCAGCAGUGGGGAAUAUUGCGCAAUGGGCGAAAGCCUGACGCAGCAACGCCGCGUGCGGGAUGACGGCCUUCGGGUUGUAAACCGCUUUCAGCAGGGAAGAAGCCGCAAGGUGACGGUACCUGCAGAAGAAGCACCGGCUAACUACGUGCCAGCCGCCGCAGUAA